rnacentral:rRNA from 1 species
GAUGAACGCUGGCGGCGUGCCUAAUACACGCAAGUCGAGCGAACGGACGAGAAGCUUGCUUCUCUGAUGUUAGCGGCGGACGGGUGAGUAACACGUGGAUAACCUACCUAUAAGACUGGGAUAACUUCGGGAAACCGGAGCUAAUACCGGAUAAUAUUUUGAACCGCAUGGUUCAAAAGUGAAAGACGGUCUUGCUGUCACUUAUAGAUGGAUCCGCGCUGCAUUAGCUAGUUGGUAAGGUAACGGCUUACCAAGGCAACGAUGCAUAGCCGACCUGAGAGGGUGAUCGGCCACACGGGAACUGAGACACGGUCCAGACUCCUACGGGAGGCAGCAGUAGGGAAUCUUCCGCAAUGGGCGAAAGCCUGACGGAGCAACGCCGCGUGAGUGAUGAAGGUCUUCGGAUCGUAAAACUCUGUUAUUAGGGAAGAACAUAUGUGUAAGUAACUGUGCACAUCUUGACGGUACCUAAUCAGAAAGCCACGGCUAACUACGUG